GAAGGAUCAUUACUGAAAAACUAUUUUAAGUUUUUUAUAUCCCAUUGUUUACUUACCCUGUUGCUUUCACUGGACAGAUUUCACCUUGUGUGGGUCCUUUGGCUUGUGUGAAAUACCACUUGCCAAAGAGUUGCCAGUGGUAAGACCUAUUUAUCAAAACAUGAGUUUCAAUAAACACAACUGUCUGAAUAUUUUUUUUCUUUAAUGAAAUAAAACUUUCAACAACGGAUCUCUAGGCUCUUGCAUCGAUGAAGAACGCAGUGAAAUGCGAUAAGUAAUGUGAAUUGCAGAAUCUCGUGAAUCAUUGAAUCUUUGAACGCACAUUGCGCCCUAUGGUAUUCCAUUGGGCAUGCCUGUCUGAGCGUCAGCUCCCCCUCCACUCAAGAAUUAUUUUAUAUGAUACUUGGAUUACUUUGGAGAUGUAACUGUAUAUUAAGUUGCCCUCCAGAAAUUCAUUGGCAGGGGCUUUACUUGGACCAGACGUAAUAGUAAUAAAAUCCAAGCCUUAGAUUGAAUUGUACUUGCCUUAACCCCCACCCAUUUUUAUUUUGGGUGACCUCAGAUCAGUAGGAGUACGG
rnacentral:rRNA from 1 species